CAGUAGCCGCGGGAAUACGUAGGUGGCAAGCGUUGUCCGGAUUUAUUGGGCGUAAAGCGAGCGCAGGCGGUCAAUUAAGUCUGAUGUGAAAGCCCCCGGUUCAACCGGGGAGGGUCAUUGGAAACUGGUUGACUUGAGUGCAGAAGAGGAGAGUGGAAUUCCAUGUGUAGCGGUGAAAUGCGUAGAUAUAUGGAGGAACACCAGUGGCGAAGGCGACUCUCUGGUCUGUAACUGACGCUGAGGCUCGAAAGCGUGGGUAGCAAACAGGAUUAGAUACCCCGGUAGUCCCUGUCUCUUAUAC
rnacentral:rRNA from 1 species